UAGUGGUCAAUGGACGCGAGUCUGAACCAGCCAAGUAGCGCGAAGGAUGACAGCCCUAUGGGUUGUAAACUUCUUUUAUAUGGGAAUANNGUUUUCCAUGUGUGGACUUUUGUAUGUACCAUAUGAAUAAGGAUCGGCUAACUCCGUGCCAGCAGCCGCGGUAAUACGGAGGAUCCGAGCGUUAUCCGGAUUUAUUGGGUUUAAAGGGAGCGUAGGUGGACAGUUAAGUCAGUUGUGAAAGUUUGCGGCUCAACCGUAAAAUUGCAGUUGAUACUGACUGUCUUGAGUACAGUAGAGGUGAGCGGAAUUCGUGGUGUAGCGGUGAAAUGCUUAGAUAUCACGAAGAACUCCGAUUGCGAAGGCAGCUCACUGGACUGCAACUGACACUGAUGCUCGAAAGUGUGGGUAUCAAA
rnacentral:rRNA from 1 species